GACGAACGCUGGCGGCGUGCUUAACACAUGCAAGUCGAACGGAAAGGCCCUGCUUUUGUGGGGUGCUCGAGUGGCGAACGCGUGAGUAACACGUGAGUAACCUGCCCUUGACUUUGGGAUAACUUCAGGAAACUGGGGCUCAUACCGGAUAGAAGCUCCUGAUGCAUGGUGGGGGUUGGAAAGUUUCGGCGGUGGGGGCUGGACUCGCGGCUUAUGAGCUGGUUGGUGGGGUAGGGGCUUACCAGGGCUUUGAGGGAUAGCCGGCCUGGGAGGGUGACCGGCCACCUUGGGACUGAGAGACGGCCCAGAAGCGUACGGGAGGCAGCAGGGGGGAAUAUUGCACAAUGGGCGGAAGCCUGAUGCAGCAACGCCGCGUGCGGGAUGACGGCCUUCGGGGUGUAAACCGCUUUCGCCUGUGACGAAGCGGGAGUGACGGUAAUGGGUAAAGAAGCACCGGCUAACUACGUG
rnacentral:rRNA from 1 species